UACAGAGGGUGCUAGCGUUGUUCGGAAUCAUUGGGCGUAAAGGGCGUGUAGGCGGUUUGUUAAGUCAUGUGUGAAAUCCCUCGGCUCAACCGGGGAAGGACGCAUGAAACUGGCAAGCUAGAGUACCAAAGAGGGGGGUGGAAUUCCCGGUGUAGCGGUGAAAUGCGUAGAUAUCGGGAGGAAUACCAGUGGCGAAGGCGGCCUUCUGGACUGACACUGACGCUGAGGCGCGAAAGCCAGGGGAGCAAACGGG
rnacentral:rRNA from 1 species